GACGAACGCUGGCGGCGUGCCUAACACAUGCAAGUCGAACGGGGCUCUUUGGAUCGAGACUUCGGUCAAGUGAAUCUGAGCUUAGUGGCGGACGGGUGAGUAACGCGUGAGCAACCUGCCUUUCAGAGGGGGACAACAGUUGGAAACGACUGCUAAUACCGCAUAACAUUUGAGGGUGGCAUCACUCUUGAAUCAAAGGAGCAAUCCGCUGUAAGAUGGCUUCGCGUCCGAUUAGACAGUUGGCGGGGUAACGGCCUACCAAGGCGACGAUCAGUAGCCGGACUGAGAGGUUGAACGGCCACAUUGGGACUGAGAUACGGCCCAG
rnacentral:rRNA from 1 species